GAUGAACGCUGGCGGCGUGCCUAAUACAUGCAAGUCGAGCGAACGGACGAGAAGCUUGCUUCUCUGAUGUUAGCGGCGGACGGGUGAGUAACACGUGGAUAACCUACCUAUAAGACUGGGAUAACUUCGUGAAACCGGAGCUAAUACCGGAUAAUAUUUUGAACCGCAUGGUUCAAAAGUGAAAGACGGUCUUGCUGUCACUUAUAGAUGGAUCCGCGCUGCAUUAGCUAGUUGGUAAGGUAACGGCUUACCAAGGCAACGAUGCAUAGCCGACCUGAGAGGGUGAUCGGCCACACUGGAACUGAGACACGGCCCAGACUCCUACGGGAGGCAGCAGUAGGGAAUCUUCCGCAAUGGGCGAAAGCCUGACGGAGCAACGCCGCGUGAGUGAUGAAGGUCUUCGGAUCGUAAAACUCUGUUAUUAGGGAAGAACAUAUGUGUAAGUAACUGUGCACAUCUUGACGGUACCUAAUCAGAAAGCCACGGCUAACUACGUG
rnacentral:rRNA from 1 species